rnacentral:rRNA from 1 species
AUUGAACGCUGGCGGCAUGCCUUACACAUGCAAGUCGAACGGUAACGGGCCUUCGGGUGCCGACGAGUGGCGCACGGGUGAGUAAUACAUCGGAACGUGCCCGAUCGUGGGGGAUAACGAGGCGAAAGCUUUGCUAAUACCGCAUACGAUCUACGGAUGAAAGCAGGGGACCGCAAGGCCUUGCGCGGACGGAGCGGCCGAUGGCAGAUUAGGUAGUUGGUGGGAUAAAAGCUUACCAAGCCGACGAUCUGUAGCUGGUCUGAGAGGAUGAUCAGCCACACUGGGACUGAGACACGGCCCAGACUCCUACGGGAGGCAGCAGUGGGGAAUGUUGGACAAUGGGCGCAAGCCUGAUCCAGCCAUGCCGCGUGCAGGAUGAAGGCCUUCGGGUUGUAAACUGCUUUUGUACGGAACGAAAAGCCUUCUUUUAAUACAGGAGGGUCAUGACGGUACCGGAAGAAUAAGCACCGGCUAACUACGUG